CGGCAGCAGUGGCGGCGGCCACGGCUGAGGCGUCUACACCAGCGGUCGGUCAGCAAAGAGAAGUGGGUGGAGACCCUGGUAGUAGCUGAUGCCAAAAUGGUGGAGUACCACGGACAGCCGCAGGUUGAGAGCUAUGUGCUGACCAUCAUGAACAUGAUACUUCCUUCCUUUGUGUCAGGACCUGUGCUAGAUGCUGGAAACACAGAAAUGCCUGAUCAGACUACACUCUGCCUGAGACUCUGCCUGAG
rnacentral:lncRNA from 1 species